AUUGUAUUAUGACUCGAGGAUGAAUUAAGGCACAAUCAUUGCUCUUGGGAGUCUUGUCUGAAGGGAGAGAUGUACAUGGCAACACUUAGUAAACUGGAGUGUUGGCAGGUAUUCUAAUCAAGGUGUGUGCAGAGUAAAGUGGAGGAGCAAAUACUUAACCCUACUCGCAGGGCACGGAGGGGGCUGGUGUUCACAAGAUGUUUUAAGGCUUUCAAGAGCUACUUAAAGACCACCAGGCUUUGGAGAGCCCAGAAUACCCUCCCUGCUCCUUUGCUGAGGCCUAAAAAGGAAAGUAACAUGUUAGUUCUGGAGCAGCCAAGACAGCCCCUUAAGAGGCCUGGUGGUUUCAACAUUCCUUCGGAAAGCCCAUCAUUGGGUUAUAAGGAAGCUUAUGCUACUACUGAAUAUGAGUUGCCAUGUGGACAAUGAGAGCCUGCGUGGAGGAGCCUCAAGGAACCAGAUGUAGGAGCAUGUAUUCCUGGGCCUUCCAGAGCAGCCCGACCACCUGCUGAAAGCCGUGAGUGAACACAGCUGAUACCUCGUGGAGCUGAAGAACUGCCCAGUUGUGCCUUACUUGGCUUCUUGACCCAGAGAAUUAGGAGUAAUAACAAAUCAUUAUUUUCCAUCUUGAAGUUUUGAAUUAGUUUGUUACAUGGCAAUAGCUAACUGACACAUUCUUCCCUAGAAAGAAGAUCCUAGAUACACGUCUGUCUCCAUCUCAUAUUGAACAUCAGUGAGCUUUUAUAGCUUAUUUCACUUAAACCUCACCAAAAUACCAAUGAAGUAAUCAGCAUUUAUGUCCACUGUCCAGAUGAGAAUAAAGGAGACUCAGGGUAAAUGAGAUUUGUGCA
rnacentral:lncRNA from 12 species